rnacentral:rRNA from 1 species
AUGGUGUGCGCGCCCGAGAGGGCCACCAUGUCGAUCGUAAGGAGGCCCUUGUUUCUGAAUGCCAGCUCAAGAUCUGACCGGCUAGAUGUAAAGCCUGGCAGGUCGCUGUUUGCCGCCGCCUCGUUUGCAUCUGUGGAAUCUCUUCUCCCCAGAGGGACUGUCCAUGACGGCCCUCCGAGCUAUGACAUUCUUACGGCUACAACGGAGUCACGGGCGGCGACGGUGAGGAUGUCGGCGCAGGAGACGGUCUGA